UGCACAGCAACUGCUAUCCCAACCCCAUCGCGGUACUGGCCGGGGUACAAGUAACCUUAGGGAAGA
rnacentral:ribozyme from 1 species